rnacentral:RNase_P_RNA from 1 species
GCAGCAAACUGCCUUAUCGCUGGCUAAAUGUCAGAGGAAAGUCCGGGCACCACAGAGCAGAAUAACGGGUAACGCCCGUCCGCCGUGAGGUGAGGACCAGUGCAACAGAAAGUAUGUACAGGUAAUGCUGUAGUGAAACCAGGUAAACUCUAUUCGGUGAAAUGCCAUGUAAACCAACGCUAAGUGUUGCUCGCGCAAGUUGGAGGGUAGGCAGAUAAAGCGAAGCAGUAAUGUUGCGCGUAGAUAAAUGAUAAGGACACUUUUAAAAGUGUACAGAACCCGGCUUAUAAGUUUGCUUUAUUU